rnacentral:rRNA from 2 species
UACGGAGGGUGCAAGCGUUGUCCGGAUUUAUUGGGUUUAAAGGGUGCGUAGGCGGCCCGUUAAGUCAGUGGUGAAAGCCUCCAGCUCAACUGGAGAACUGCCAUUGAUACUGACGGGCUUGAGUACAGACGAGGUUGGCGGAAUUGAUUGUGUAGCGGUGAAAUGCAUAGAUACAAUCAAGAACUCCGAUUGCGUAGGCAGCUAACUAGGCUGUAACUGACGCUGAGGCACGAAAGCGUGGGGAGCGAACAGG